rnacentral:rRNA from 1 species
CUUGUAGGCGGUUCGGUAAGUCGGGUGUGAAACCUCUGGGCUCAACUCAGAGACGCCACCCGAUACUGCUGUGACUAGAGUGCGGUAGGGGAGCGGGGAAUUCCUGGUGUAGCGGUGAAAUGCGCAGAUAUCAGGAGGAACACCAGUGGCGAAGGCGCCGCUCUGGGCCGUAACUGACGCUGAGAAGCGAAAGCGUGGGGAGCAAACA